AUUAUACUCCCUCCGUCCCAAAAUUCUCGUCUUAGAUUUAUCUAGAUACAGAUGUAUCUAAUACUAAAACGUAACUAGAUACAUCCGUAUUUAGACAAAUUUAAGACAAGAAUUUUGGGAUGGAGGGAGUACAAU
rnacentral:pre_miRNA from 1 species